AUUCACUUGGGGUGCUGCCUUUCAGCAUGAGAGGCGGCUGAGAUGAUACCCAUAUAACCUGAUGCGGGUAAUGCCGCCGUAGGGAAAAGGAAGUAUA
rnacentral:ncRNA from 1 species